rnacentral:rRNA from 1 species
UACGAAGGGGGCUAGCGUUGUUCGGAAUCACUGGGCGUAAAGCGCACGUAGGCGGACUUUCAAGUCAGGGGUGAAAUCCCGGGGCUCAACCUCGGAAUUGCCUUUGAUACUGGCUUGCUUGAGGGUUGGAGAGGUAGCUGGAAUUAUCGGUGUAGCAGUGAAAUGUGUUGAGAUCGGGAGGAACGCCGGUGGCGAAAGCGACAGACUGGGGCUUGGCCGACGCUCAGGCACGAAAGCCAGGGGAGCGAACGGG